rnacentral:lncRNA from 12 species
GAGGUGCUGCCAGCAGCUGGGGGGAGCCAGCUCUUGUUCAGGAGCCUUGGGGCAGAAUUUCUGUGUCCAAAACCUGAGAAUUUCUGUGUCCACAUCCUGCCUCAGGUCACCAGCUUUACUUUGCUUUGGACUUUAUUUUUUGGGCAGAGAAAUCAGAUAUUUAUUCGCCC